rnacentral:rRNA from 1 species
UGGGGGAUAUUGCACAAUGGGCGCAAGCCUGAUGCAGCGACGCCGCGUGGGGGAUGAAGGCCUUCGGGUUGUAAACUUCUUUUGCUCUGAACAAGGCGCACUUUGGGGUGUGUUGAGUGUAGGGGUUGAUUAGCGCCGGCUAACUACGUGCCAGCAGCCGCGGUAAUACGUAGGGCGCGAGCGUUGUCCGGAAUUAUUGGGCGUAAAGGGCUUGUAGGUGGCUGGUUGCGUCUGUCGUGAAAGCUCAUGGCUUAACUGUGGGUUUGCGGUGGGUACGGGCUGGCUUGAGUGCAGUAGGGGAGGCUUGAAUUCCUGGUGUAGCGGUGGAAUGCGCAGAUAUCAGGAGGAAUACCGGUGGCGAAGGCGGGUCUCUGGGCUGUUACUGACACUGAGGAGCGAAAGCAUGGGGAGCGAACAGG